UACGUAGGGGGCAAGCGUUGUCCGGAUUUAUUGGGCGUAAAGAGCUUGUAGGCGGUUUGUCGCGUCUGCUGUGAAAAUCCGGGGCUCAACCCCGGACUUGCAGUGGGUACGGGCAGACUAGAGUGUGGUAGGGGAGACUGGAAGUUCCUGGUGUAGCGGUGAAAUGCGCAGAUAUCAGGAGGAACACCGAUGGCGAAGGCAGGUCUCUGGGCCACUACUGACGCUGAGAAGCGAAAGCAUGGGGAGCGAACAGG
rnacentral:rRNA from 1 species